GACAGAGGGUGCAAACGUUGUUCGGAAUUACUGGGCGUAAAGCGUGUGUAGGCGGCCUUGCAAGUCGGAUGUGAAAGCCCCGGGCUCAACCCGGGAAGUGCACUCGAUACUGCAGGGCUUGAGUAUCGGAGAGGUUGGUGGAAUUCUCGGUGUAGAGGUGAAAUUCGUAGAUAUCGAGAGGAACACCGGCGGCGAAGGCGGCCAACUGGACGAUUACUAACGCUGAGACACGAAAGCGUGGGGAGCAAACAGG
rnacentral:rRNA from 1 species